AGAGUUUGAUCCUGGCUCAGGAUGAACGCUAGCGGCAGGCCUAACACAUGCAAGUCGAGGGGCAUCGCGGGUAGCAAUACCUGGCGGCGACCGGCGCACGGGUGCGUAACACGUAUGCAACCUGCCUUGAGCAGGGGGAUAACCCGGAGAAAUUCGGACUAAUACCCCGUAGCGCGUAGGAGCGGCAUCGCUUUUACGCUAAAGAUUUAUCGGCUCAAGAUGGGCAUGCGUCCUAUUAGCUAGUUGGCGGGGUAACGGCCCACCAAGGCGACGAUAGGUAGGGGUUCUGAGAGGAAGGUCCCCCACACUGGUACUGAGACACGGACCAGACUCCUACGGGAGGCAGCAGUGAGGAAUAUUGGUCAAUGGGCGCGAGCCUGAACCAGCCAUGCCGCGUGCAGGAUGACGGCCCUACGGGUUGUAAACUGCUUUUGUACGGGGGCAAACCCUCCCCUGCGGGGGAGGUUGAGAGUACCGUACGAAUAAGGAUCGGCUAACUCCGUGCCAGCAGCCGCGGUAAUACGGAGGAUCCGAGCGUUAUCCGGAUUCAUUGGGUUUAAAGGGUGCGUAGGCGGCACUAUAAGUCAGCGGUGAAAGGCUGGGGCUCAACCCUAGCAGCGCCGUUGAUACUGUAGCGCUUGAGAACAGAUGAAGCUGGCGGAAUGUGCAGUGUAGCGGUGAAAUGCAUAGAUAUUGCACAGAAGGCCGAUUGCGAAGGCAGCUGGCUAAGCUGUAUCUGACGCUGAGGCACGAAAGCGUGGGGAUCAAACAGGAUUAGAUACCCUGGUAGUCCACGCCGUAAACGAUGAUAGCUCGCUGCCGGCGAUACACCGUCGGUGGCUUAGCGAAAGCGUUAAGCUAUCCACCUGGGGAGUACGUUCGCAAGAAUGAAACUCAAAGGAAUUGACGGGGGCCCGCACAAGCGGAGGAACAUGUG
rnacentral:rRNA from 1 species